AUUCCAUGAUGUGGGAACUUUCUUAACAUCGUCUUGAAGCAUUCCCAUGCUUCGUACAUGGACUCACCUUCGUAUUGUUUAAAGUUGGCGAUUUCUCACCUAAGCU
rfam:Gossypium arboreum cultivar AKA8401 contig_9900_7, whole genome shotgun sequence.